GUCCGUUUACUGUCCGUUUACUUUACUGCCCGUUUACUUUACUGUCCGUUUACCCUCCGUUUACCCUCCGUUUACUGUCUGUUGUGAUGAUUUAGUUACAUUAGUUUACAUGUGCGCUCAAAGUAGAAUAUAGUUUGCGUUAUUUUACUGCAGCACAUGUUCUGUUGUGGUUUGUUUUCAUGUUCUGAUUUCUGAACUGUUUAUUUGAAUUAUAACAUAGGUGACGAUUGAUUUGAAUAAACCUUGUUUUACAGGUCCAUUGCAGAGUUUGAGUGUUUCCAUAACCACGUCCUGAUGUUUGCUAGGAAGCGUUUUAGCUUCAGUCCUGCGGUGAAUGAAGCUGGAAUUGUACUGACUACAAUGACCACAGAAGGUGUGAUGGAUCCACAGAAGGAGAAGGAUGUCUUCAGGACGUGGACUGAGAGCAGACGACCCACGUCACCUCAGAGUUCACCUCCAUCCACCUCAGAGCUCCUGGAGACACGAGUCAGCAGAGAGACCUACUCAACAUGGAGAAUCAUUACAGCGUCAGAGGCACAGACGUGGUCAGGGACAGAAGGCUGAGGUCCAGGCUGAGGUCCAGGCUGAGGUCCAGGCUGAGGUCCAGGCUGAGGUCCAGGGCUCACAAUUCAGUCCUGAAACAAACACUGAAGAAUCAAUCUGGCAAAGGAGUGAGUGUGUGAGGAGCUGGCGUUUAUAAGGAGGGCUGAUUGCAGGAGAUGAGGAGCAGCUGUAAUCACAGGUGAGUCGUGUUGGCUUGAUGAGGAGGUGUGUCUUGGCAGGUAGAGUGGGUGGAGUCAGGUGAGUGGAAACUGCUUAACUGUGACAUUUGUGUCACAUUAUUUUACAACUUCAACAAACACUGAGCGAAACAAACAUGUGGAACUAUUAAUGAAGAAAGACGUGACAUAAAUCACAUGAAGCUGUGAGUAACUGUAAGAUGUAACGACAGAGCGACUCAUCACUGACACACACUCACUGAUAGAGCGCCAAGACGCACACACACUCAAACACACACAAAAACACAAUCUGCCAAGUUUGCCAAAUGUAGAAUUGCAGAUUCAGUAAUAGCGAGCAGGUCUUCCUGCUGCAUUCACUCUCUGUUUCACUUUCACUUCCUUGAGUGUCUCUGUGAGGAUUGUGAAGUCUACCUCUAACUACAUAUCCACUCUUAUAUUCAGCUUCUGUGCUUGUAAUCUUGGUUUGUAUUCACUGCUCAUCCUCGUAAUCUCUCUGACGUUUGUGUUCCUCUUUCUUCUCUAUGACACAAAGACAAGGCCCAGUUUAUGUCUUCAUCUCCCAGGACAAAUUAAGUCCCACCUGACCCAAAGCUCUAGAUACGAGGAUCUGAGACAGACAGGUGUGUGCGCGUGUGUGUGUGUGUGUGUCUGUGUGUGUUAAAUAGCAGGGUUCAUAGACCAUUGGUCCUCAGUUGACUCUUGGCUUGAACCUGUUCUGGAAAUUCAUCACUGACCUCACUGUUAACGUGAGAUGGACAGAGAAAUAACGUCUUACAUUUAACAUAAGACAAGGACACACUAUUAUCACUGCUUAUACAUGCUGUUGCCGUGUCGACAUAAUAAGAAGCAAGCACUGCAGCAGCGCUUUAAUUUUAUAUUCAAAAGUAAUAGUAUGAAAGCUGCUUGCAAAGCACUUUCCUGCUUUAAACUGCAAUGAACAAUAGUAGUAGUGGGUAGUAUUUGAAUUAAGGGCACAAUUAUGUUAUGUAGAGUGCCAUAAAAAUGGGCCACAGAGCUUCAUGUUUUAAUAAGAAGCAGAAGACUGCAAACAGUGUGUUGUGGUUUAUGUUAUUAGUAAAGACUGGGGUUACUGUGAACCUCAUAACUUUCAUUUUAAAAUUUAAAGUAUGUAAUGAAUGUAACUGCCCAACAGUCAAGAUGGUGCACACAGGUUCCAUAACACGUUUGUGUCCAGUAUAAUUAUCAAAACUGUGUCUAAGCACAGUCUUUAUAACCCUAACCCUAUGCAUUAGUCUCCUAAAGAUGGAAACUCAAAUCUGUGACAAAUCCAAUUAUAAAUAUAUAUAUAUAUAUUUAUGAAACUUGUGUAAAAAACACACUAAAGUUGGGACAGUCUGCAAUAUCAGUUAUAUAAUGCUGUUCUGAAAGGUUCACUGCUAACAGGUGAGGAUAUGGAAAUUGUGUAGAAAUAAGCAUCCACCAAAGAUUUAGCCUUUGCAAGCAGGGACGGGUCUAAGACACCAAGUUCUGUCUGUCACCAUGUACAAUUCACAAUAUUGUGAGAAGGUUCAGGAAGUCAGGGGAAAUGUUGGUGCAUAGAGGCUCCAAGGAUGAAAACUGCGACAGAAUAUUUGUGAACAUCAAAACCUCAGGUGGUAUUAUGAUGUGAGAAAUAUGAUAAGAUAUGAGAAAAAGCUCCUGUGAUGGACAUAGCCAAAUGGUCUUGGGAAUCAUUGACACUUAUCACACCUGAAACUGUAUUAACCAGAGCCAAAGCCAUCCCUCACAGCAAUGCUGUCAAGUUCUCAUGUGAGAUGGAAUCAAAGACAGUGGAAACAUUCCAGCUCGAUUUGAGAUGCAGAGGAUUAUACUGCAGCGACGGAGGCUCCUUUCACAACUUUUACCAGAAACUCCAACACUGGCAAUUUCAACAGGACAAUGUCAGACUAUAGUCCCUAAAUGUUAUCAGUGCUAAGCAGUGCAUCAGAAAUGCACAACAGCACAUAACAUAAUUUCAUAACAUAUUUUGUUUUUCUUCUUUGUCUCAAGGGUGGUUGUACUUGGUCACAUGACCAUUAUUUCAUACAACAUGGUGAAAAGCAGCUUGAAUUUAAAAAUACUGUUAAAUUUUGAUUAAACAGUAUUAUGAUUCUGUUGCCUGUUUAGUUACUUGUUCAUCUCUAUGUUUUAUGGAGCAAUUCUCAUGCAGAACCUAAACAUGUUAAAAAUGCAUGAAAAGCACAUGGAAGAAGCCAUGAGGAGUUUAUAACUGGAUCACCUGAGGGUCAUGCUCAGGUUGCAUCUGCUGCUAAUAAGCAACCUAACCUGGGAGCUGCUGAGAGGAGCAGUUUCACUCUCACUCUACUCUCAUAUUUAAAUGAACUAAAUAAACAGAAAACACUGCAUUAUCAGCACCAGUAAAGGCUUGGCUCACCACCUCCUGUCGUCUGUAGGUCAUUUCAUCUGUGGAGAUCCAUUCAUUGCUCCUUAUCCCACUCUAUGCCAGACGUCCAUGCAUCUCUUUUUAAGGCUUCUCACAGAGGAAGGGGAAGAGACCAAAGUUUGCUUCUUUUUUGGCAAGAAAUAACUCAGUGGCAGCUUUGGAUGACAGCUUGAGACACCCCUGUAUUUUGAGCUCAGUCCUGUUUCCUAUUAUUCACCAGCAGCUGUUUGCAGUUCUUGCUGCCACUGGAUGAGCCAGGUCCCUUCAAGCAAGGCUAUUUCUUGAGUGAGGCAGAAAUGGGCAUCCUCUGGGUCAGCCUUGUAUUUGUAGAUUUCGUCAGAAUUCAGACCAUAACUGAGACAAGCAUCCAGUGAUUUUGGUAUGUCAGUUUUUCAAUUUCGUUCUCCAUCUUGAGCAGACACUCUCGCCCUGCACUCAGCUUAGCUGUUAUUUUCACUAUUUUUCCAUUCCACCUGUUAGCAGACUCAUUCUGCAAGAUAACUGUUGUGAAUGCUAUGAAGGUUGUGAAGGCUGUGAAAGUUGUGGAGGUUGUGAAGGUUGUAAAGGUUGUGAAGGUUGUGAAGGCUGUGAAGGCUGUGAAGGUUGUAAGGUUGUGAAGGUUGUGAAGGUUGUAAGGUUGUGAAUGCUGUGAAGGUUGUGAAGGAUGUAAAGGUUGUGAAGGCUGUGAAGGCUGUGAAGGUUGUGAAUGCUGUGA